rnacentral:rRNA from 1 species
GAUGAACGCUGGCGGCGUGCUUAACACAUGCAAGUCGAACGAAGCAUUUAAGACAGAUUACUUCGGUUUGAAGUCUUUUAUGACUGAGUGGCGGACGGGUGAGUAACGCGUGGGUAACCUGCCUCAUACAGGGGGAUAGCAGCUGGAAACGGCUGGUAAUACCGCAUAAGCGCACAGUACCACAUGGUACAGUGUGAAAAACUCCGGUGGUAUGAGAUGGACCCGCGUCUGAUUAGCUUGUUGGCGGGGUAACGGCCCACCAAGGCGACGAUCAGUAGCCGACCUGUGAGGGUGACCGGCCACAUUGGGACUGAGACACGGCCCAGACUCCUACGGGAGGCAGCAGUGGGUAAUAUUGCACAAUGGAGUAAACUCUGAUGCAGCGACGCCGCGUGAGUGAAGAAGUAGUUCGCUAUGUAAAGCUCUAUCAGCAGGGAAGAUAGUGACGGUACCUGACUAAGAAGCUCCGGCUAAAUACGUG